CCUGGAUCUCCUGGGUCCUCUAGAAAAGCAGCAAGUGCCCCUUAACCACUGAGCCAUCUCUCCAGCCCUCCCCAUCCCUGUCAGGUUUUAACUUGUCAUUCAUUCAAGAUCCAGCUUAAGCGGCUGGAGAGACAGCUCAGCAGUUUAAGAGCGCUUGCCGUUCUUGCAGAGGACCUUGGUUUGGUUCCCAGCACCCAUGGGGCAGCCAACAGCUGUCUGUAAUUCCAGUGCCAGGGCAUCUGAUGAUGCCCUCUUCUGUUUCCCACAGGUACCAGGUGUGCUCAUGGUGCACAUGCAUGAAGACAAAAUACUCAUAGACAUAUUUUUAAAAGAUCCAGCUCAAAAGAGCUCCCAAUUCCAUGAAGAAUUUCCAGUGGCCUCACACCCGCAGAAUGCAUUGUGUUACCAGGGUGUCUAAGCAUCUUUCCUCCUCUCUAAUGGGUACCCCAUCUAUUCCUUAACACAACAGGUAGCGUAUUCUUUGUGCUCAACCAAAAGGCACAUGGGGUCAAACUGAAACAGAUUUCUAUGGAUUUGACCUCAGAUAGGUGCCACUUACAUUUCAUGCAAGACUAGGAAGGAAGCAGGCCGAGGAGGGAACUCAGGGAAGCAGAUUUCCAUGGCCCCUACUUCCAAAGGUCAGCAUCAGUUUCGGCUAAUGAGCAAAGUUCACAGCUCGCACUCUGAGAAAUGGUUCAGGCUUGGACAAGGGAGCACAGCCUGACCUUCAGGGAGCUUCCAGGCAGAGAGGCAGAUCACCAUUUCUGGGAUCUGAGAGACUGAGCAGGGAUGGGAGCCAGCACUUACUCAGUACCUAUGGCAGUACUUACUCUCAGUACCUGUGGCAGUACUUACUCUCAGUACCUAUGGCAGUACUUACUCUCAGUACCUAUGGCAGUACUUACUCUCAGUACCUAUGGCAGUACUUACUCUCAGUACCUAAGGCAGUACUUACUCUCAGUACCUAUGGCAGUACUUACUCUCAGUACCUAAGGCAGUACUUACUCUCAGUACCUAUGGUCGGCCAGACCCCAGAACACGUCAUUUCAUCUCACAACAGUUCUGUGAAGUCAGUGUUGUGAUGUCCACUCUAGAGAUGAGGAAAUACAGAGUCGGAGAAGUUAAGGACUUUCCCAGAAGAGACUCACAGGCUGAGAAUGGAACUCCCCAUCCAGGUCUUCCCCUGACACCAUUGUUAAACAAGGAACUCAGUUUCACAACUACUGAUGACGGCUCCAAAGCCAAACACUUCUGCUGUCUAAUGCCAGUACCAGUAAAGAAAGGAAAGCUCCGUGCAACGCUGGUGUCCAUACCUGUGGUUCCCAUUUCUUAAGCACAAUCUGCAUAUGUGCUUCUGAUUGGCAGAGUGUGGGUCUCGGGCCUGUAUCUGGGCUGUGAGGUUAGGAGUUCUUGACUUCUUGGUGGGGCGGAAGAAUAACAAGGGAAUUCCCUCCAGAAAGGGAGGCUGACUAGUGAGAUGCUGAAAGGCCACUGACCCAGGAGAUGGCUGCCACACGGCCCCUCCCUAAAUGUCACGUCAGAGGAACUUAAUUUAUAAGCCUUAAUAUGCUCCCUUUUGAAAUUCCCACAACUUUCUUAAAAUGUGGUUUGGAACAAAACAAGCAAACAAGCAGUCAUGACAUAAUUUUAAAGUAUAAUUUACAUAGAGCAAACUUCAGGUAUAUAGUUCUAGGGCCUCUGUCUCGCUCUAUCCCCUGCCCCCAUACUGAUAAUUAUCUAGACACUACCAGAAGCAAGAUGAAGUUAAGUAAUAGCUUGCUUUCCUUGCCCUCCCCAGAUCCCUUGAAUUCCCUCUGUAGUCUCCAUCUUCCUCCAUGCUCAGCCUCUGAGAACCACCCAUCUGUUUUUCUGCCUAAAGAUUCUGGAACAAAGUCUUUCAGAGCAGAGAAGAGGAACAGCCGAAGGGAUUCUCUGUGUAAACACUAGUGUAUGGGAUUGAAGCCUCUUCCUACUUGGCCUCAUCUUAGAGGUGGGGAAAAACCAGUUCGAGAAAUGGAUUGAAUUGAUCAGAGGUGUAAUCUCUGCAAGUCUGGAGGCACAGGCCUCCACUUUGGAAAGCUGAGGCAGGGGGAUCUCAGGUACAAGGAUUGCCAGAACUACCGAGUGAGUUUCAAGCUGACUUGGUCAAUUUAGUGAGACCCCCUUCUCAGAGUAAAAGCUAUGAAGGAAUUUGGAAUUAUGGUUCAGAGGUGGAGCACUUGUCUAUAGUGCACUAGGCCUUGAGUUCAACCUCCAGUACUGAGAAAAGAUGGAUAUAAUUUCCUUUCAAAUAUUAGGUUUAAGACUUAACAUGGACAUCUGCUGGGCUCCAGCUCAUGGUGUGAAUUCUCUUUUAAAGGCACAGGCGGAGAGAAUGGGCCGUGGACGCUCCACUGGGCUCAGGUUUGGUAGAGGGACCCACACCUUUGAGGCCAGCUCUUGUUUCCUCCAGACUGCCCUCCUUUCUGACAGAUAGAGCCCGGGCCCAUGGUCUGUGUCUUCCUGCUAGGUCCCACCACACCCCAACCCCAAUUCUUCACUCAAAUUGCCCUGAGCCCUUUUCAGGCCUCCAUGGGAGACAGCACAGCUGUGGUGGACACUCUAGACUAAGCUGUGGCCUGAGGUUGCUGUUCAAGAAAGCCAUUCACAAAGCUGAGGUGUGCAGGCUGCUGGUAGAAAGAGGGACUGUCUGUCUGUCUAUCUGUCUAUUAUCAUCGGUUGUCUAUCUACCUACCUCCAAGGAGUGUUAAUAUUCUAAAUUUAGGAGUCAGAGAGAUGGCUCAGUGAUUAAGUCUCCUUGUUGCUUUUGCAGAGGACCUGGCUUCAGUUCCCAGCACCCACAUGGCAACUCACAGCUCCCCAUAACUCUAGUUCUAGAGGAUCUGAUGACGUCUCCUGAUCUCCCAGGCUCUAGGCACACAUGUGGUGCGCAUACAUACAUGCAAGUUAAACACUCAUGCACAUAAGAUGAAAGUAAAUCUAGUUUUUAAAGUUUGAAUGUAUACGUGGCUCCCCAGAUAAUCAUAAACAAAGAUUUCUACAACUUUAGUAUUUUGUAUUUUCAAAUGCGGUAGAACCCCUUUUAUUGCAAGAGUCAAUUAGAUUGACAGAUAAGGUGACUAUGGGAGGCAAGCAUAUGAAGGUCUGUUUGUGCUCUGCCUUGGGCCCUACAAUGUUUCAGGCAGGUCUGGAUGAACAUGAGCUAGUAUUCUCUGAGAGAUGUAGCAAAGUCCCCUUCGGUUCAGCCCGCCUUUGCAGGCUGAGACCACACUCCCAGGCAGCGGGGAGGGGAAGACACUUUUAGGUUUCUUGAACCUGACCUGGGCCUUUUCUUUUGUAUCGUCUUUGAUGGUUAAAUUUCACUGUCAGCUCUACAAUCACCUAAGAGGCUGGUGGGAAACACCUCUGGGUGUGUCAGUGAGGAUGGUUCUAGAGAGGAUGAGCAGAGAGAGGAAGACCCACCCUGACUGUGAGCAUCACUUACAAGCUGGGGUUUCUCCCCACAGCUGAAGGGGGCUGGCAUUGUUCUGCUUCCCUGUCAGCCAUGAAGCACAUAGCCUCUCCUCUGCCACCUGCUCCCGUCACCAUGAUAUUCUGCUUAGGUGCGUGGAGCUGAAUGACCUUGAACUGAAUCCUCCAAAACCGUGGGUCAAAGGAGGUGUUUGAACCAGGUAUAUUGUCACAGCGCAUGAGGACUAAUACCUCAUGUCGUUUGGGUCUUUCACCACCCUGCCAGGUGGGUAGCUUGUUGCCAACUGGUAGUUGAGGCAGCAGCGACUUAGUGAUGCUGAGUUCCUUCAUUGGAGCAGCCAGGGUCACAAAUGAGCCCUGCGUAGCUAGCUGCAAGGCCAGUGGGCUUCUCCGUCUUACUUCAUCCCCUUUCCUAACAUGAUUUCUAGGGGAAAGGAACCGGUCACUUGUGUGUGGGGGAUUAAACCAAACCUUAGAAUUCCAGAGCCUUCUGUGAUUGGCCCUGUUUUUAUUUCAAAGAAGAAAAAGGCAAAGUACAAGAGAUGGUUAGCUGGGGCAGAGAUACUGGAAACACACUUUGGGAGAAGGUAUAGAUGAAUUCAGGGGUGCUUCAGUGAGUUAGGUAUAGGAGACAGAGAGGAGUAGAGGGUGAGUAGGGGUGGGUGCUCAGCUAACUGCCCCCCGUUUUAGUGUGUGUGUGUGUGUGUGCGCGCACGUGUUGGUGCAUCCAUGCUUACACGCCACAGCUCAGAUGUGGAGAUGAGAGGAUGUUUUCAGGAGUCAGGUCUCUCCUACUAUGUGGUUCCUAGGAAUUGAACUCAGAUCAUCAGGUUUGGUGCCAAUUGCCUUUACCCAUGGAGCCAUCUCAUCAGCCCGACUGUGGCUUUUGGGUCAGGGCUGGUUUAAUCUGAGUCUCCACACUUAGGAAUUGACUUUGACCAAGCCACAAACUGCACAGAACUUCAGUUUCUGUGAGAGUGUAGCCCAUACUAAGACGCCAUCUUAGAAACCCGUAGGGAUGAAAUGAAGUUCCCAUGAGGGGAUCCCUGACCUGCAGCAGGCUGUGUACAAUAUUCAUCUUCUCCCUGCUUCUUAUUCUCCUUGACUGGUUCACACAAGUUCAUUUGGGCACUCUGUAGCAACAGCUGAGAAGUCCAAAAAUAAACUUGAAUUAAAAUUAAGAUAGGUUCAGAGCUGAGGUCCCUUGCAGGCACCUCUGUGUGAAUAGCAGAAGUGAAACAAAAAAGAAAAAAAAAUAAAGAAGAAAGACAAAGCAAUUUCAUUUCUAGUAUUAGAAGUAAAGAUCCCCAAUCCUGUAGGCCAGCCAUGGUUGAGGGAGCAGGUAUGGCAAGAGGAAGAUUUGGUAUUUUAGUUGUUUUUGUUUUUGUUCUGUGAUGAUGUUAGGGGGGACUCUCCAGGGACAUCAUGCGUCACAGAGCGAGGAAGAGGGGGUGGUGAAGGCAGGCAUGGGCAGGUCGGAGAAUGUCAUGCUGUCAUUGAUGUCAUAUGGAAGAACCGAGGAGAGAGAGUAGAGGUCAAGUCAUGGAAAGGGUCGGGUGACUGUCAUGCCCUUCUCACCUCCUGCUCCGGGGACACAGAUGGCCGAGUUCCUUAAUUCACCUUUCGACGAGUUUCUGAAGAAAGGUCAGCUUCGAGGACUUGACUGGCUCCCGAAGAGCAGGACUGCAGAGGCUCCCCAUCAAGAACAGACCUGCACGACCAUCCAGUGUUAGAACGACUGUGUGCCUAGAAAGCCCUUUCUGCCUCCUUGUGCCUACCAGCUGCCUCGAACACGAGGAUGUUUAUACUGAAUGUUUCAUUUCAAGGAUGCAACAGGUUCAACCCCUCUGAUCUGUUCCGCCUGUCUAGCCACCAGGCAAGCUGUUUACAUGGAAUCCAAGUGCUGCUCCGCCAGGGGCGGACCGCGUUUUUCCACAGCUGCUGAGAAAGAAGAGCGAGUCGAGGCAGAAUAACAAAAAGCCACUUCAAAAACACACCAGAAGAAGUCUCGAAGCUGAGACAAUCACAGGUGUCUUGUCCGUCACUUGAAUUCUCAUUAGAUGCUGUGGGCCUGAAUCGGGUAGCUAACCCCAAGAACAAAAAAUGAAAGAUAAAGCCAGGCUGUGCUGUGCCCUCAGACUCUCAAGAGAUACUGUGUCCUGCAGUUGUGGAGAGGUGCUCAGGAUUUGAACUCGUGUCCUUGGGUAAGGAAGCACAACCGGGCCCAUUUCUGAAGCCUACCUCGUAUCUCAGGGGUCUUAAAGAAACAGGCCAGUGUGUUUCCCUGGCUCCUGAGAGGACUGGCCAGUAGGAGAAGAAAGAAGUUAGAAGAGGCUCCCCUGAGGCCACCUUUGGAUUCAGGGGAGGGGAUGGGGUGGGACGGGGCUGCCAUUACUUUUGCUACUGACCCAACCCAAAGGCUUUCUCUGCUAAUCCAUAUAUAUUGACUUGUCUGAAAAUGCUGUCCACCCCAAGGGUGAAGGUCAGGGAUGGUGGGGUGUAAGCUGCCCAUUGGAGCUAUUGUAACUUCCUUCUUUAAUACAAAAGCUGCUUUCCUCUGCCAGGGUUGGGUGUUUUGGUCUUAGGGCUUGACCCCAGAGCCUGGUGCAUGCUGGGAAGAUGCUCUACCACUCAGCUACAUCCCCAGCCCUGUUUCUUUGCUGUGUCCCAGGCUGGCCCUGAACUUAUCAUGUAGUCCAGUUGGGUCUUGAACUGGAGAUCCUACGGCCUCAGGCCCCUCAGUGCAGGAAUUACAGGUUUGUAUUAUUACACCGGGAGUUAGGUAUAAGUGACUGAUGGUGGCUCUGGAUGACGAUCUGCAGCCCAUUCUUCUGUGACUCUGUUUCUAGCCAUGGAAGUUGAGACCACAAGAUAACGUGUAAUUUGCUUAAACCCUCAUAGAAAUUAGUGGUCGGACUGAGGGCUUUCCCCUCAGAGCCCCCGAUAAAACCUUAGCUCAUCAUCAUAGUAUUCUGUGCCAGCCUGCCCUACUGAGGUGAGAACUUCCCUUUUCUCUGUCAGCUUCCCAGCCCACUGGCUGGUACGAUGAUGCACACUGGGGACUUUUGAGGAGAGAAGGCGAGAACAUUGGUGACGGAGUUCAGUCCGAGAUUCUUCACUGUGAACAGCCCUGAGUGAGGCCCAGUGCCCCUACCUCAUCCUCUGCACUCAGCAGCAUCCCAAAGACUUAGACUUGACCUUCCUUUUCUAGGAGCGCUCAGCCUGCUGGGUCCUAGAGCAAUGCCUGCUUGCUCUGCACAGUUAGUGGCCCUUCUUGAUGUGGGAGGGGCAGUGUGGGGGAUCAGUUCUGAGUGUGAGCUGUGACUAUGUAAGCCUGGGUUCCCCUGUCAGCUCUUUUCCAGCUAUGUGAACCUGAGCAACUCCUCUGGCUUCAGUUUCCUUAUCUAUGAAAUGGACCUGCCAAUCAUAACUCCCUCCAAUGGUCAUUGUGGAGACGGGACCAAGGCAUGCAUGCAGUUUGGUGUGGUGCUGGGCCCUCAUUCGUUCUAGCUAUCACCAUCAUGAAAUGUUUGGUCCCUGCCCUCUGUGAAGAUGCUUUCCUCACCUGUGAACCGAAGGGGGAAGAUAUGUACACCUUGGUGGUCUGUUAUGACAACCAAAAUAGAGGAUGUGUAUGAAAACGCUUUGUAAACUUGUUAAGGUUUGAGUGUGAAGUGUGGCUGCCUCCAGGAUCGCUCAGUGGGUAAGAGGUGGCGCCUUCCUGGAACAGCACCUCCCCCAAGACACACGUGCCUUCACGCCACUCCUAUACCCACAUGUGAACAGACGCAGGUGUACACAUACAUGUGCAUGUGCACAUGCCCACAGGCAAGCUUACCCAGAAACACAUGCCCCUGUUAACGUAUGUGCACACAUGCACACAGACACCACCAACACGAGCACCUGGGUCAGGAAACAGUUCAGUGGUUUAACCCCGACUAGUGCCCUCGGAAAGUCCCACUGUCCUUGGCUCAAUAGCCUGUUCCCGAGCCCUCCUGGCUACCUGGGCAAGCAGGGGUGGGACAGAAAAAUAGGAACGAGACUUGAACUUGGUCUUAAGAAGCCUAACAGGGAGAGGGGUAAAAUGGAAGCUAUUCUAAACAGGUGGGGGACACUGAAAAUGAUAGGAACGUGCAACUGGGAAGAGGGGAUGUUUGGGGAAGUUCCUGGAAGGGUUGGCGUCGAGCUGGUCUUUGAAAGGCAGGCAGUGUCUUGCUCAGGCACUAUAGCAAAAUACCACAGGCUUAAUUUUAGGUCUCCAACAAUAAAGGUUUCAUAGUUCUGCUGGCAUUAAAUCCAAGAUCAAGGUGUCAGUUGUGACGUCUGCUUUGACGGCCUCUGUUCUUGGCUGUGUGUUCAUGUCUCUGCACAUGUUAUCUGAGGCCACAUUUCCUUUUCUUUUUAAAAAUUCUCAUUUGUUUAGUAAAAAUUUGUAUGUGGUAUAUUUUGUGUCACGUGUUUGAGGGUGCCUGAAAAGUCAAGAAGAGGCCAUUGGAUUCCUUGGAACUGGAGUCAUAGGUGGCUGAGGACCACCGCACAGGAAUGCUUGAUACUGAACUUGGGCAGGAUGCACUCUUGACUUCUCGUCUGUGAGGACACUAGGCUCUCAUUGUGUCAGGACCCUGCACGUGAACCCAUUUUGCCUUUGUGACUUCCUCAACGGUCUG